GUUAUAAUCUACAAUCCAAUAAAACAAGGAUUGAAAC
rfam:Orenia sp. Z6 2524618312, whole genome shotgun sequence.